rnacentral:rRNA from 1 species
CCUUACACAUGCUAAGGUCCGAACGGCAGCACGGGGCAACCGUGUGGACGAGUGGCGAACGGGUGAGUAAUGCAUCGGAACGUGCCAUUGAGUGGGGGGUAACGUAGCGAAAGUUACGCUAAUACCGCAUAUUCUGUGAGCAGGAAAGCAGGGGAUCGCAAGACCUUGCGCUCUUUGAGCGGCCGAUGUCAGAUUAGCUAGUUGGUGAGGUAACGGCUUACCAAGGCGACGAUCUGUAGCGGGUCUGAGAGGAUGAUCCGCCACACUGGAACUGAGACACGGUCCAGACUCCUACGGGAGGCAGCAGUGGGGAAUUUUGGACAAUGGGGCAACCCUGAUCCAGCCAUGCCGCGUGAGUGAAGAAGGCCUUCGGGUUGUAAAGCUCUUUCGGCCGGGAAGAAAUCGCAUGGGUUAAUACCCUGUGUGGAUGACGGUACCGGCAUAAGAAGCACCGGCUAACUACGUG